GAUGAACGCUGGCGGCAUGUCUAAGGCAUGCAAGUCUUAGGGUAGUAGCAAUACUGCCCUGGCAAACGGGUGAGUAACACAUUGGUAACUUGCCUCCGUCUCGGGCAUAACCCUGCGAAAGCGGGGACAAUUCCCGAUAGUCAUGCGGGGUCGUAAGACAUUCGCAUGUAAAGUUCCGACGGACGGAGAGAGGCCUAUGGCCCAUCAGCUAGUUGGUAGGGUAAUGGCCUACCAAGGCUAUGACGGGUAG
rnacentral:rRNA from 1 species